GGAUGAAGAGUUCUGUGACUGAGCGGCGGACGGAUGAGUAACGCGUGGGUAACCUGCCUCAUACAGGGGGAUAACAGUUAGAAAUGGCUGCUAAUACCGCAUAAGACCACAGCACCGCAUGGUGCAGGGGUAAAAACUCCGGUGGUAUGAGAUGGACCCGCGUCUGAUUAGCUAGUUGGUGGGGUAACGGCCUACCAAGGCGACGAUCAGUAGCCGACCUGAGAGGGUGACCGGCCACAUUGGGACUGAGACACGGCCCAAACUCCUACGGGAGGCAGCAGUGGGGAAUAUUGCACAAUGGGGGAAACCCUGAUGCAGCGACGCCGCGUGAGCGAAGAAGUAUUUCGGUAUGUAAAGCUCUAUCAGCAGGGAAGAAAAUGACGGUACCUGACUAAGAAGCCCCGGCUAACUACGUGCCAGCAGCCGCGGUAAUACGUAGGGGGCAAGCGUUAUCCGGAUUUACUGGGUGUAAAGGGAGCGUAGACGGCGAGGCAAGUCUGAUGCGAAAACCCGGGGCUCAACCCCGUGACUGCAUUGGAAACUGUUUUGCUUGAGUGCCGGAGAGGUAAGCGGAAUUCCUAGUGUAGCGGUGAAAUGCGUAGAUAUUAGGAGGAACACCAGUGGCGAAGGCGGCUUACUGGACGG
rnacentral:rRNA from 1 species